CGACAUUAUUUGGCGCAGAGACGCUUUAUUCUCAGUAGAAAAACUUGUGCUUCCUUAUUGAACACGUAACAGUUGUUUAAUCAGAAAUAAAUGUGCUCUGUGAUGUUGAUUGGUAUAUGUGUGAUUGCUGUCACUUCAACUUCAGUGACCCUCACCCGCUAUCCCCACUGCGCGUCUUGAUUAGCUGCAUUUUUUUUUUCAACAUCCAACGGUUUUAACCCCCUCAUCCCAAUCUGUCACACUUAAAACACACCCGUCUACCAGUUGCACACACCCGCUCAAUAAUGAUCACCCUGUCCAAGAAUUAAUUAUGAUAAAUGUAGUUUUUUUUUGUUGUUGAUGAAUUAACAAGAUAAUCCGAGUGGCAUCUAGCUGGAACUGCAGUUUGAUAUUAAAACAGCAUAAAGUGCUGCAGGCUCCUUCAAAUGAUGCUACAAAUCAGCAACUGUGGUGAAUUGUAAUCAAAUUAUUUUUUUCAGUCUGACGUGAAUAAUCAUCAGAAAAAAAUGAAUCUACAGAGGAGAUAUAUUUAAUUAUUGAAAAUGUUUAUUGAACCGAGCUAAGCCCCCAAUUUAGCCGCAUAAAGACAAUCUGUCAGAUCUUCGAAAACACCGGUGAAAUAUGAAAUGUAACGUGUUUAUUGUCUUCGAAAGGUUUCGUCUCUGGAGGAGGAGAGUCAGCAGAGACACAUUUUCUUUCGAUAGCAGGCCUACAUGUUCUUUAUUUCCAGUCCUCCACAGUUAUCCAUUAUGUCGUCUGUAAAUUCAUGUCGAGGUCAAGUGUGCAGCAUGAAAUGAAAAGGGUUUCGUUUUAAAUUGAAACUUCACUCAAUGAAUUAGUCCUCGGUAGCAGCACUGGCUUCAGUUAGUGAGGGUAUGAAAUUAGUAAAAUAUUAAUCAUACCAUUAUUAUAAAAAGGCAUUAAUAAUAAUAAUAUUAGAAAAGCUUAAAUUUAGCUUUGGAUCUGUCUUUGUUUCCAUUAGCAGAGACUAUCAUGGUGUCACUUCAUCAGUUUGGCAUCUACUAUAAUUAUCGGAUGCUCUGUGUGCAUGUGCAUCAUUUACUUCGAUUUGUGUUGAUCUAAAAGGGUUUGGUGACAGACACACUUACUUCUCUGUGCCCAUAAAAGGCUGAGUUUAUAAGAUAGGGUUGAGCCUUCAUGGCAUUUCUCUUGAGUGUGUUUUAUUUCAGCACCAGCACUGUUGAAACGCUGCAUUCCGUCUUUUAAAGAAAUGCUUUUGAAAGCCUUUAAAAUGUGGUUUUAUAGGUGUGAUUCAGCUUCUAAUUAUUUUUUACUUCUUUGACUCUUUCGCGAUAACUUAUUUUGAAAUAGGAUCAUAAUAAAACAAAUAGGCUAAUAAUAAUAAUGAUGAUAACGAUAAUAAUAACGACAUUUUAAAUAAUAAUACUACUAGUACAAGUAAAACUUACCCUGGUAUCGACGACUGUAAAGUUCUUUGUCUACUUGGUUUCCUCCUGGAGAAAAAAAUACAACUCGGUGGUGAUAAACGGCGUCCUGGCGCGUAAAACAAUCGAAAACCAAGUAGAAGCAGAGGCAGUCGUCUUCUUUAGUGGCAGAAGAACAGCUAAAAUAAAAGGAUAAAAGUUAAAGGUUGAGCGUCUGCAUCCGGUUUAGAAGCGGUGCGACAGCGGUAGAGUGAUGGAGGAGACUGCAUGUACGCCUUUAGGAUUUGUUGGUGUGUUGUGAGUGAAGUGGUUCGAGUUGGAUUUUGUACAAACUGCCAGCCAAUGGGAGCCGCAGGACUGAGCUGAGGUCUGUCUCUGUCUCCGUCUCUCACACCGGUGGGGAGGAUGAGGGUUUUUUUCUUCCUUUUUUUUUCCUGGGAAACAAAUGUCUCCAGCUACUUUUUUGACGCACAGUCCUCAGCCAAUGGCAGCGAGAGAGCGACUGACAACAUCCCCAUCCCUCCGCAGAGAGGGUACAAUGACAAUAAAUAAACGGUAUGCCGGUGGAUGUCGAGAAGUGGAGUUUAAAUCGAGGAAAAGUCAGUUUAGUCACAUUUUUAUUACAUUUUAUAUUCGACAUUGCUGUUGCUGUGGAUGCAUUGACCUGAGGAAAGUUACAUUGACGGCUGGUUCUGCGAUAAAUGCGCAAAUAAAGAGUUAAAAAACACAAUAUAUGUCCGGUUUAUAUGAAUGCAUAGCCUACUCAUAUACAUAUUUUUAAUAGUUCCAGUGUCAUCCAAUAAUGUUAAUUAUGUAUUCACAUUUUAAAAGUUUCAGACAAUCGAGGAAUAUAAAAGCAUCUUAACAUGAAUUUGCGGAUAGACCCGAAACAAAACAAAUGUAAACUGUUUAUAGGUCUGUUUAUUUGUAUAGAAGAGUAUAAAAUGAAUUAUGUGACAAAAAGACAUGCAGGGGGAAAAAAAUCGCCUGGACUGAAGCAGUGCUCGAAGGCUGCACCGUCCUCUCACAUUCCAGCGCGUCGGAAAAAAAAAGGGGAUUUAGAGCGACUUAUUUCCUUAAAACUGUCCUCCCAUCCACAGAGCCAGUCAGUCAGCUCCCAUCAGCCUGAUACGGGCCUGCACCAAAAUUCACCGACACUAUUUACAUGGGGGUUUCCACCGAGAGACACCAAGCAGCCGAUGACUUCCAUGCAGCACUGGAGCUGCAGUGUGCAGAGAUGAGGAGAAGUGAAGGGGGGAAAGGUAGAUGCAGGCCGGUUCUACUGAUGGAGACAUUUUCACUUAUUUUACUUGACACGCGUUCUGCAAGAGGAAGAUGUGAAAAUAUGAAGAUUUCGAUCAGAAGAAGCCGCCGAUUGGAUCAUAACCCCGGAUUUCUUAACCAGUCUGCAGAAGGGGAGGUUUUGCUGUGAGUGUGUUAGGACACGAGGAACUGCAACACAAUCAGGAGUUCGCCAACAAACAAACGGAUGCAAUUAAACACUCGCCUUCAGAUCAUCAAUGAGGAGGCAAAGUCAAGACUGGUAGAAAAACCAACAAGGACAAAUGUAAGAGGGAAGAAGACUCGGCCUCCUCAAGGUUAAACUUGAACUGUGUUAAGAACUCGACUUCACGCAAUCUGGAUAGUUCUUUCUUCUUCUACAAACACACACACAUCACUGUUUUUGAUGUUAUAUUUUGUAACUUUGCUAAAAAAGUGUUUGUUCUGUUUAUUCUCUGCCUCCACAAUGUCCCGAAAGUAAUUAAAAAACUAAUUUGCAAAUAAAGACUAUCAUUGUCAAACCACCACCCUGCUGUCUCACUCUCUCCCUCUCAACCUUAGCCAUCAGUAGCCUUCUCCUCUGUGUGCUGAGGUGUCUGCAUGUCGAGUAAAACCUGCCCUGCAGACCGGACCUCUCAAGUCUUCAAAGGAGUAGGAACUCAAUGUGGGGAUUUGUUCAGGCUUAUUUGGUAACCUAGGAUUUGAAUUGGAUUCUGGGAGGCAUUCAUAACACAUUUGAAAAUGUUACAUUGUGUGAUUUUGUGUGUAAUCCCCAUAAUAAAUUUUAGAAAUGGUCACAGCACUUGCACGACUGUGACUAUUCAUGAUUUAUCAAAUGGUUUUCUUGUCUUGCCUCUCGGGGGUGAGGUGUGUGUGUUGCCGGCAGGGAACGGGAAGAUCUCGUCCGUUGGACGGGAGAGCCGUUGAGGAGAUGAUUCCUGUGUUUUAACCUUUCUCUCAACACUUUUUUUUUUUUUCCGGACCUGAAUAUGUGAUGGGGUCAGCCACCGUGCCUCCAGAGGGAUUCUCAAAGACCCCCCAACAGCACUGGUGCAUUACUACAACCUCUAGUCUAGUGGAUUAUACCUCCCUGGUAGGAGGGUUAGUGUACACACACACACACACACACACACACACACACACACACACACACACACUGAGGGUACAGUUUAUUAAAGUGUGUAUAUUUGAUCAAAGCCACAGCUAUAGAUUAAUAAGCGGUUCUCUUUUCUCCAGCGUGCCUUGUAAAGUGCCUCAUACUUUGCAUUAAUACAGUGAAGUAGAAAACUUAAGCAUUCUAUUCAAAAUAUUUUUAAUUUCAAAAGUUGAACUGCUGGACAGAAGUUGUCUCCUACUUUGUGUAAAAAUCCAUUCUCAGCGUUUGAUCACCGCACGUUUCAAGUUUCCACAUCACACUUGUGUGUUUGACAUCCAGACUCGUUGUGAUGUCACACAAUCUUGCACUUAUACAUAAGGUGAGCAAAUUAAUUAGAAAACAGCUUUGUCGUGUCAAACUCUGUACAUGCAUCAUUCUGCUCAGUGAAGGUAAACCAUCCAAGUGAAGUGGCAAUAAGCAAAUGUAUUUUACGACUGGAGGGGGGCUUUAAAUGUGUUUUAGAUGGUCCAGAAGGAGUGAAUCAUUUGAUGGCUUCCCUGCUUGGAUUUCUUGUCUGGUACACUCUCCCGCCUUAGUUCGAUAAGAGCGAGAGCAGUGUUGUGUGUGU